GACGAACGCUGGCGGCGUGCUUAACACAUGCAAGUCGAACGGAAAGGCCCUGCUUGCAGGGUACUCGAGUGGCGAACGGGUGAGUAACACGCGUGUGUUCUGCCCUGCACUUCGGGAUAAGCCUUGGAAACUGGGUCUAUUAUCGGAGAGGAGCCAUCUUGAGUUUGGUGGGGGGAAAGUUUUUUCGGUGUGGUAUGAGCGCGCGGCCUAUCAGCUUGUUGGUGGGGUAAUGGGCUACCAAGGCGGCGGCGGGUAGCCGGCCUGGGGGGGUGGACGGCCACAUUGGGACUGGGAUACGGCCCAGGCUCCUACGGGAGGGAGCAGUGGGGGAGAUUGCACAAUGGGCGCAAGCCUGAUGCAGCGACGCCGCGUGGGGGAUGACGGCCUUCGGGUUGGGAACUCCUUUCGCUAGGGACGGAGCUGUUUGUGACGGUACCUAGAUAAGAAGCACCGGCUAACUACGUG
rnacentral:rRNA from 1 species